GGCUGCGAUCUGGCUGCGAGUGUGUAGUUAUGUGUCUGGGAUGAUAUCUUGGGCCUUAUCUGUGAGUGGCCGAGAUGCGGGAGACCCAAGGCGGCCAUGGUGCUGGCCGCAGGCCGUCAAUUAUGCAAGAGCGCGGUGAAGGGUAGCGCGCCGGCCUACAUGUAAAGCCGAUAUGGUGUUGGGAGGCGCCACGCCAAGUUCGCCACCGCAGGGUCAGAUGGUGAGUGACACCCCUGGGAUUACACUGGAUAUUUGGGCUGUGAACUCCAUGUAUCUUUGGGACCUGCCGCCUGUGGCAGUCUCCCUUCCUAGCCAUGGAAGAGCAUGUGCUUGUUAUUGGCAAAGCUGUCACCAUUUCAUUGGUACCAGAUUCUGACUUGAGCAAGUGACAUUCUAAGAGUGUAAGAGUCUACGCGACGAAAAACGGAUUUAAUUUUCUAAACUAGUGUUGAAAUGUUUCUAGGAAAUGCCGGAACCUGUUGAACAGUGGAAGAAGUGUUAAGGUAAGAUUCAUUUUUGUGGUGUUUGCGCGGUUCUGGGUAGUGAGUGGGCCUUAACUGUUGGGUGCAGUUUGCUCUUGUACGAACAUUAACACAAGUAAACAGCCCGUAGUAUAGUCACGGAUAUUCUGUAAUGGACCUUCUUUUUUCUCCUUGCAGGUACUGUAUUGGUUGAGAUCGUCUGGUCAGUCACCUCACAGGGAAUCUUUGCUUUUAAUUUUUGGAAGUUGAAUAUUUUCUAUUAAAUAAAAGAUGUUUUGUGUGUAA
ensembl:processed_transcript